GCCUGGUCUGAUGUUACUGGGUUUAUCAGACUCUGUGUCACUAAAGUUGGUAUACAACCCUCACCCCACUGAUAAAUUAGACUUAUU
rnacentral:sRNA from 1 species